AAAGAGUUUGUAGGUUGAUAUUUAAGUCUUUUGUUAAAUCUUAAGGCUUAACCUUAUCACGGCAAAAGAAACUAUUUAUCUUGAGUUUUGCAGGGGUAAAAGGAAUUUUCAGUGAAGCGGUAGAAUGUGUAGAGAUUGAAAGGAACACCAAUGGCGAAGGCAUUUUACUGGGCAAAUACUGACACUGAGAGACGAAGGCUAGGGGAGCAAACAGGAUUAGAUACCCCGGU
rnacentral:rRNA from 1 species